rnacentral:pre_miRNA from 1 species
UAAGUACUCCCUCCGUCUGAAAAUUCUUGUCUUAAAUUUGUUUAAAUACGGAUGUAUCAAAUCAUGUUUUAGUAUUAGAUACAUCCGUAUCUAGACGAAUCUAAGACAAGAAUUUUGGGACGGAGGAGUACAUA